rnacentral:lncRNA from 1 species
CGCCGUGGUAGCCCUAGUUUCGGAUCGUACGGCCGCGUUUGGAGCCGCAGAGCAGCGCACGUCUACCCGUCGCUGCUGUUGACGCCGUUCGUGAUCCCUUGCUGAGCCCGGUGUCAAGGAAGCGAUCUGUUGCCUCACCGCCAUCUGCAAACCAUGGCCAAGCUUCCCCAUCCGUGGUGAUUAUCCUAGGUGAGACCUUCGUCAAGUCCUAUGUCUCUUAGUGCUUUUUUUUCGGUCAACGAGACACCAAGGCUUUCCUCUAGGGUUCACUGGCAUGUUCUUCGUCAUCGUCCAUGGCAGCUACCAGAGCAUUCCAUCACGCCAGCCUUUCUUCCCCAGUGGCACCGUGCCCAUCUCACCGACGAGACGACACACACAGCUUCCAGCACUCUCUCCACACGCAUGCACAAUUUCCACGUCGAAGCACACCACACCGGCCGUGGCCUGGCCUGCUUAUUAACUAGCUUUGAUGACAUCACAUGUGGUCAUGCAGGUGUUUUCUUGCCGUUUUCCUUCACAAAAACAAAUCUCCAAAUACAAUGGAAAUACAUAUAAUCAAACAAUCAUCCAAAGCCGUCUGAUCUGAGAUCUAGGGUCCAGAUUAGAACUUACCUCUUCAUGUUUAUUUUUUUAAAGAGACCCUGAGUUUCUUGCAAUUUAUGCCCGCCGUCCUUGGCCAGAUUUUAAUUUCUGAUUUUGAAAUUGUUUUAUUACGAAAAUAAGUCGGUUUAUUUACAAAAUUGCUACUAAGUUUAUUUUAGCCAUAAAAUAUUCAUAUUAACUCUGUUUUGACCCAUUCAAAUUGCGUUGGAUUCGUAUUAAUGAGCUUUACAUGUUAGUAAACAUAAUUCACCAGUUUGAAACUUUUUAAUUUCGUGACCUUAAUUAAUUAAUUACUUUUCUAUAUAAAAUCUUGGAAAAUUCAUAUCUUCUACGUUUUAAUUCCGAUUUUCGUGAACUUUACGUUUGUGUGCUCGUAGCGCUGCAUAGAAUAUUUUUAUAAACUUUUAUCUUUGAUUUCUCACUGUUUGGUGUAUUGUUCUAAUUACAACUUGUUUGCUUCGUGUAUGAUUGUCUACAUUGGAUUGCGUGUUGUUGAUUGAUGUUUGGGAAUAGACGGUGAGCCGUACGUUGGUGAGCAAGAUCAAGCAUUUGAAGACCAGCAGGCUCAGGAGAGCUUUGAUCAAGGCAAGUAUAACUUGGGAUCAUCUUUGUUACCUAUACACCAUUAAUACAAUCUUUAUCAUAUGCAUGUGUCCACCUUGAUGACCUUAGCAAAAUCAUAGAUGAUUGUUAUCGUGAAUUCCUUGUUACCUAUUUUAGAUAUGCAUUUGGGUAGUUCUUGCUAGUGCUUGAUUAAUAAUCCAUGAUCUUGUAACAUGAAUAUUUGGAUAUACAAUAAACAAUAAAAUAAGCUUUCUAGCAACUUGAACAUAAAGGGUGGAAAGAACUCUAGCUUUUGCUAGAUUGAUCUUGACCCUCCAUAAGGACUUAUCCCUUGGCAAAAGCUAGGAUAACUCAUACAACCAUGAGGGCUACAUGGUUCUGGUUUUAGCUCAGUAUGAGGACCUUUUUCUAGCUUGUUAGCGGUUACCUUAAAUGGCGUAAGAAUGGCUAGACAUGUUGGGUAUAGUGUGGCCUCUGUCCAUGUGUAUAGGCUGCGGGUUAUGUGCCAUGGAAGGGGGGCUCCAUAUCUGCCUGUCGAGUGAAUCUAAUGGCCCUAACUUGUUAGACGAAACCUUUGAAAGGCUUCAUAGUGAUCUCUGCCGACCUCCCUUGGAAGGGGGUUAAGAGACUCAUGACCUCGGGCGAAAGGGUAAAUCAUGACUCAUGGGUAAAGAUGUACAACCUCUGCAGAGUGUUAAAUCUGGUAUACUAGCCGUGCCCACGGAUACGGGCGGCCCAGAAAACUGACGGAAUAGAUGGACAGUGAUGAAUAUGAUUAAUGAUCAUAAAUGAUGGUUUAUUAUGUUGUUUAUAUGUGUUAUUCUUAAUUCUUUUAUACAUUGAUCAUGUGGUUAUGGGAUUUAAUUAUGCUACCUUGACAUUUGCUAUCUAAAUAUGAUCCUAUUAUCUACAUAUAAAAGCUAAAUGCAGUCAAACCAGUGUCAGCUAUGGUUUUGUCCUUAAACUCACAUAUAGUGCAUAUCUGGUUUUGUCCUUAAAAUCGGGUAUUACAGAUCACAACCUAGUAUUCAAGUGGUAUUAGCAAGUGUCAACAGUUAUCUUGUACCACGUUGAGUUAAACACUUAUAGCUCAUAUUCUAGAUCAAACACUAGGAUUGCAAGCCCACAAACAUGUCAUAUGCUACCACUAGAUCAAGUAAGCAUAGAAGCAAUAGUGGUACCAUACAAGCAUCAAAUUCAUUUGAUUUUCAUGAAUGCGCCUAAGACAUGUAAGGGAUGGCUAGAUGCACUAAACAAGUCCUUUGCAUAGGAUGUAUGACAUGUCAAAUCAAUUUUACCUUGCUUUGCUCGAAGGAGAUGCAUGUCAUAUAAUGGGAGUGCAUCAACACAUAUUUGAGAAGUCAUGUAUGUUCAAUUCAUUCCUUAGCUUGCAAAACCUCUUCUCAUCAAGUGGCUUGGUGAAUAUAUUAGCAAGUUGAUCAUCGGUGCCUAUACUCUCAAUGCAAAUGUCCCCUUUUUGUUGGUGAUCUCUUAUGAAGUGUUGAACUGGGUUGUUGGUGAGCUUCGCGGCACUUUCAUUGUCACAUAGCAAUAGAACUUGUUUGAAAUUUAUUCCAAAGUCCUUUAAUGUUGCCUUCAUCCAUAGAAUUUGUGCACAACAACUACCAGCCGUAAUGUAUUCCGCUUCGGCGAUUGAUAGUGCAACACUAUUUUGUUUCUUGGAUGACCAUGAGAUAAGUGAUCUUCCCAAUAGUUGACAUGUGCCCGAUGUGCUUCUUCUCUCAACUUUGCAUCUCGCAUAGUCCAAAUCAGAAUAUCCAAUAAGUUCAAACUUUGCACCUUUGGGAUACCACAAACCAACAUUUUGUGUUUGCUUCAAGUACCUCAAUAUUCUCUUUGUUGCUUUCAAAUGACUUUAUUGGUGCAAAAAUAGAUCUGCAAACACAAAGGGCUAAUACCCAAUUCAACGUUAAGGCGUGCCAGCCGAUUUGACCUUACAAUCGACAAAGGUGAUAACUCGAAUACUUUGGUCCCGACAACAGCAAUACGCCCGGAUGCCACGGCCAUGAGGUAUUCACGCGGAACUUGAGAACCCACCGAGGUUGACUCGAUGAAUUCCUAAGAACUCAUAAGUAAAAAGAAAAUAUACGAGGUGACGAAGUCGUCGAAAAAGUAGAUGCUGGAAUAGAUGUAAAAACUUGUGUUUGAUUGAUUGUGUAUCUCUUACAUCGCUAUGGGGUUUCAUAUUUAUACCCUGCCGAAAAGGGUUACAAUCAGACACGACUAGGACUCAAAUUCCAAAUUAAACAGAAUCCGUAUACAAAACUAACUCUAAUAACUAUGGAAAGCAUUAAAUUAUCUUCCACAACCGAUCGGUACACCACCACGACUUGAUCAACAACCCCUGCGCUCUUCUUCAUGACCAUCGGCAAACCAUCUCUCAUAGCCAUCGGCAGCCAUCAGCACGAGUCAUCGGCACGAAUCCAUCACCACUCCUGGACUUGGUCAUACCUUGUCGUUUUCUCAUCGGCACCAACCCUCAUCGGCAACUCUUUUGUAGACUAAUCACCACAUCUCUGCCUGCCGAUCUACACUUCAUUAACUCUAGAUACACGUCAAAGAUACGCAUCCAAAAAUGGUGUCAACACAUGCCCCCAAUUUCGGAGUAUAAAAUCAUUAAUGCUCCGAAAUUCUCUCCAAUAAUGUUGGCUUUCCGCAAUUACUCUUUCCCAUCAGUAAUUAAUUACCAAAUCCAAACAACCUCAGCCCGGUCUUCUAGCACGUACCUCGAAUCCCUCAACUUCUCGAACUGAAUCCCCCUAGUAUACGCUCAUCGGCAACAUUUCCGUUAGAGAAGACUGCCGACGAGCCGACCAGGAGAUCUUGCACAGUAAGAUAUCUCCAAAAUCAUGACCGCUUACUGUCAAAUCACCUGCGCAAUCCCUUGAUUACCGUGCAAACAGGUACCAUAUCCACUUGAACACCCUCGUCUUUCAUGGAUAUAGCCAAGAGAUAAGUCAAGAAUACCCCUGCCUUUUUGUUCUAUAAAUACUUCCUUCUCCGGUACUCUUCCUCCAUCUUGUCAUUCUCCAUCCUUAAUCCCACCUUUCUGGCGGCGACACUGUUCGAGAAACUCAAGAACCCCGGCAAGGAUCACCUCCAACAAUCUUCCAAGUCUUCAAACCCUUCCUCCUCUCGGGAAGAAAUGGCCAUCAACUUCGUUGUCCCUGAGGUUAAUUCAGCAUCUCCUUUCCUCCUUUCACCGUAUUUUUAUUUUUCGCAUGGUUACUUACUUGGUAUUUCCUUUCCUUCUUUUCCUUGUUUCUUCAAUAUUCAAACCUUUAGGAACUGGCCGAUAAAAUUGUUAUUCCCACUGAUCAGCCCCACUUCCAAUGCCUUGGUCCCUUAGGGAAUCCAGAUCCCACCGAUUUUAUAAACGCAGAAACAAAUAGGAUUCCCUUUAGAGCUGAGAAUUUUUCACUAGAUCUGUGGAAAGACACUUUUCGGUAGUGGACCAGUUCUACCAAAGGGUGGAAAGAUUGGUUCCUGAGAAUCGGCAACUCGAACGAAGUUCGAUGGGGUGAGCGCGGACUAGAUUAGUGCAUUAGGCUAUCCAUUGCCAAUAUGGAGAGAAACGAGUCGCUGUUGAUAGCUGCUUCAUAAUUCUGGUCAGACACCCUCAAUGUCUUUGUAUUUGGUCAUGGCCCUGCUUCUCCUACCCUUGCCGAUGUGCUUAUGCUUACUGGCCUAGAAAUAGCAACUGCCGAUGAUAGUCACCUGUUCGAUAGUAAGCCUAAGUCUAAGGUGGAAACUCGCAGCAUCGGCGGUUGGUCAGGGUACAUUCAGAAGUAUCGAAAAACAGGAUCGGUUGGGCCAAGGGAACAUGCCAUCUUUCUGAACAUGUGGCUAGAUAAAUUUGUAUUUUGUGGCCGGUUAGUAGGUCCGACUUCUGUUUAUCUAUCGGCAGCAGAGAAACUAGCCAACAGUGGUCGCUUCCCCCUUGGCCGAUACUUGUUAGGCUCUGUUUACCACCUUCUUCAUCAAGUAGCCGAAAAGCUUCUGUUGGGCCAACCCAUCGGCAACAUAGGAGGACCUUGGUGGUUUAUCAACAUGUGGCUCAGUGUUCACAUGCACAAACGCCUAGGAUUUGACCUCUUCGCACAAUGCUUUCCCAGAGAUAUUGCCGAGGAUCAUGAAUUGGCCGAUGAAGAAUCGGCAACUCACCCACCUUUGAACUAUGGUGAGGCUACCAUAGUUUUACCUGGUACCGGUGGCAAUGAAGACCAGGUCAGUCGAUUCUUCCAAACUCUCUAUGAGGGCCUUGCCAAAGAUCAGCGGGCAUGGAUGCCUUAUGAGGACCCAGAAACCAGAUUCCCACUUACUUUCCACUCUUUUGAUGAUGCCCUCAAUAAGGAUCAUAAUCUGAUGAUGGCAAUUAUUACUCCGAGAGCUAUACCAGUGAAUAUCUUUGGUAGUGGGAAAACUUCCAACCCCACCUAUGAAUUCUACAUCCCAUCGGCAUUGGCUCGUCAACUGGCCUUUGGGCAGCUGCCGAUUGGACUGAGUUAUGCCGAUGUGGUGAAACCAAGGAAAACCAUAACCAGCGGUCUUGAAUGGAUCAGGAUAGCCCAGCUUCCACCAAAUGCCCAUACGUCAGAUAUUGAUCUAUCGGCCUAGAUUCUGGCUCUCUUCAUCACUCAAGCAUAUAAACAGUGGUGGAAAGAGUGGAAAGAACAUCUGUUCUGCACAUCGGCUCUGACAUACCACGGCAUGAUCGACCCCAAGUAUAAGGUCCCCGAAAACACUGUAAGUCUCUAACCGAUACUUCAAUUCUUUUGUUACUUUUAUCCCCAUCAGUAACUCACUUUCUUUUUCCUAAACAGGUUGACAACCCACCAACAAUAGUCAGCAGGAGUGGAAAGCCGAUCGAGCUCCUUCCAUCAGGCCCGAUUUCUCUAAUCGGCAACAACACACCAAACCUGGCAGCUCUAAUGCAUCGAAAUGUGUGUUUUAAGAAAAUAACCACCAGGCGGUCAAAAACGUCCCCUUCGGUUGCCGCUGCUACCUUGGCACAAGCCUUCAAGGUAGAUUUUCAAUUUCCUCUGCUUAUACUAAUUCCCUCCUAUACUCACACAAUCAUUUCACAGUACAUCGGCUGCUAUGGGAACAUCAUCGGUAAUUUUUCCGUUCAACAAGAUUUUAUCAAUACUCUGCUAUAUUUGUACUCAUGAGAUUUCUAUUGUUGUAAUAGCAGACUGCAAAUCGGCAAGACCCAGAAGUGCUCAAACAAGUGCCGAUGCCCCCUAGUCCAGCCAAGCCAAAAGGAAAGGCCCCAAGAGUACCAAAUCACAACCAAAGCGUCAGAAGACAACACCACUCUCUCCUCCUUGUCCAGUAUCACCGAUUCAUGUGGAAUCGUCCCCUUCUUCACCAGAGGCCCAGACACAGCAAGCACCAUCUCCUCCUCAACCAGCACCUCAGCCACAAGAAGCACCAGUCGAUGUGCUUGAGCAAACUGCCGAUUCAGCGGAUCUGAUCACAUCAUCUGUUAUUCCUCUAGAACAAACAAGCACUGCAACCCCUCAAGGUAAAAUACUGAUUACAAAACUAUCACCGAUGGAUUUAUUCUUUCAACUUAUAAUUACUCUUGUUAUUUCUCAGUUGACAUUGUUCCAUCGGCAACUCCAGCUGAUCAACCUGUGGUACCAGCGGCAUCAACCAGCUAGAGGCGCGAAAUAGCUCUGAAGCAAGUAAGUUAUCUGACUUCCAUCCUUUAUAUCACUAAUAUCUGAUCAUCAAAUAACUUAUCUUAUUUUCUUUCAGGAACAAGACUCCACGGACAGCUUAUUUUCCUUUGCCAUUGAUAUUUCCGAUGAUGAGGGUGAGGAAGCAAGCUCCUCCCAAGCAAUAGGGAUCUCAUCGGCAGAAAUCAGAGCCAAACUGGAGGACCUGCUGGCCUUGUUACACUAGGACACUGCUCAAUUGGUUGACGAUUCCGAUCCAACCAAGGCCAUGUUCAAGACUCUUCGCGGCCAAAUCCCGGUCGAUGCUGAAGAGAUUCUUUUCCAAGCUGCACACUUGGAAAGCCGCCAGCUUCAGUACCAAAAGGCUACCCAGCGUCUUGCCGAUAGAGCCACCCAUGCCCAACUCUCAGAGGACAUAAUGCAAGUGAAGCGUCUUGCCGAUGAGAAACACAAGAGCAUCGGCAUCCUGCAAUCCUCAGAGGAAACACUGAAGCAAAAGAUUUCUGACCUAUCGGCGAGAAGAGAAGUCCUGCUAGCUGAGCUCAAGCAAGUGGAAGAGGCCAUGUCUCAAGCUCAGCAAGAAGAAAGCCAACUGCCCGAUAUGAUCAAGACUCUUCAGCAAGAACGAAACACCCAAGCCCGCAAGGCGCCGCAAAUGAAGAAGAAGCUAAAGCCAGUGGAGGGUUCUGCCGAUGAGGACAUCCGGGAGAUAGAAGAAGCCGACCAAAUCUGCCUAUGCGCCAUAUCGGCCAUCCAAGCCUUGUUUAAUGCAUGAGCUCUUCAUCGGCAACUUGUUUUGUUCUGCCCUUUGAAUACUUUUGGUCAUUCUGGUCCAGCCGAUAGGAUUGUUAUCGGCACCUUUUUAAAACAUUAUGCACAGUCCCAGAUACAUUACAUCCAGCCGAUAGGAGUAUUAUCGGCACUUUAAUUUUAUGCAUCAACCCAAAUACUUGGGUAAUACCUCUUUAAAUAUUUUCCAUUCAAUGCUCUGGGAAAUUCAACUCCUUCGAGAGUCUCCAAAAUAUAUGCAUUACUAGGAGCAGACCGAUUUAUCCGAUAACGACCCUCCCAAUUAGGAGACAUUUUCCGAACUUUGAACUUUUAGUCCCAAUAGGUAAAAUUAAUUUCCAUACCAAAUCUCCAUCGGCAAACUCCUUAACUUUUACCUUCUUAUCAUACCACCUAGCAACUCUCCUUUUAUUUUCUUCUACACUUAUCAAAGCUCUCAACCGAUGCCCUACCAAAUCAUCCAACUCAUCUUUCAUCAAAGUAGCAUAGUCAUCGGCAGCUAAUUGAUCUUGAAAAGAGACCCGCCUAGAUCCAGUCUCAAUUUCCCAUGGUAGCACCGCAUCGUGUCCGUAUACCAACUGAUAAGGUGAAACUUUGGUCGAUCCAUGACAUGCCAUCCGAUAUGACCACAAAGCUUCAUUCAACAACGUAUGCCACCUCCUUGGAUUCUCUCCAAUCUUUCGUUUGAUAAGCUUAAUAAUUCUUUUGUUAGAUGCUUCGGCUUGUCCAUUGGCUUGAGCAUAAUAAGGAGAAGAAUUCAACACUUUAAUCCCCAUACCGAUUGCAAAUUCAUCAAACUCUCCCGAUGUGAACAUAGUAUCCUGAUCGGUAGUGAUUGUUUGAGGAAUACCAAAUCGGUAAACAAUAUGCUCUUUUACAAAAUCAAUCAUGUUAGCCGAUAUUACUUUCUUCAAAGGAAUAGCUCCAACCCACUUAGUAAAAUAGUCAGUGGCAACUAAAAUGAACUUGUGCCCCUUGCUUGAUGGCGGAUAAAUCUGGUCGAUUAGAUCAAUAGCCUAUCCCCGGAAUUGCCAAGGCUUAAUAAUAGGAUUCAUGGCUGAUGCGGGUGCUCUUUGAAUAUUGUCAAACUCUGACAUCCUUGACAUCCUUUGAAAUAUUGAAAGCCAUCCUCAAGUAUAGUUGGCCAAUAAUACCCGUUUCUCCUAAUCAUCCAUUUCAUUUUAAAAGCCGACUGAUGUGCUCCACAUACUCCUUCAUGGAUCUCACCCAUUAAGUUUUUAGCCUCAUCAUCACCUAAGCAUUUGAGUAGAACUUCAUCUAUCGUCUAGUAAUAUAACUCUUCUUCAAGGAGUACAUACUUGGUAGCUUGAAACCUGACACGCCUCUCAACCUUUUUAGAUGGAUCUCUUAAGUAAUCAAUGAUUUCCUUCCUCCAAUCAUCAGCACUGAUUACCGAUAACACAUUUAAGAUGGGUUGAUAUCCCGAUGCAUGUUGAGCUAACCGAUUAGCCUCUUCAUUAUGUAAUCGAGGAACAUGCUCUAAUCGGAAAUCCUUGAAUUGCCUCAACAGUUGCAUACUCUUUUCAUAAUAGGUUAUCAAAACUUCACUUUGGCAUUCAUAAGUCCCAGCCAAUUGAUUUAUAACAAGCAUAGAAUCGUCGAAGAUCUCAACAGCAUCUGCAUGAACCUCUUUUAGUAAUUCCAACCCUUUGAUCAGAGCUUGGUAUUCAGCUUGAUUAUUCAUUGACGUGGCAACAAUCGGUAAAGAGAACUCAUACCUCUUCCCUCGAGGAGAAACUAGCACUAUACCGAUUCCUGCCCCUUGGUCACAUGUGGAUCCAUCAAAGAAGAGCAUCCAAGGAACAAUCUCCAAAGUCCCCACUACACCGCAAUGCUGAGUCACAAAAUCGGCCAUAAUCUGCCCUUUAACUGCCUUAGCUGAUCAUAACGCAGAUCAAAUUCCGACAGCGCCAAAAUCCAUUUGCCGAUUCUACCACUCAUAAUCGGCAUAGACAACAUGUACCGGACUACAUCAUCUUUGUAUAUAACAGUGCAUUCAGCCGAUAGCAAAUAGUGUCUCAACUUAGUACAUGAAAAGUAUAAGCAUAAACAUAAUUUUUUAAUUGCCGAAUACCUUGUCUCAGCAUCAACCAGACUUCUACUCAAGUAAUAAAUCACACGUUCCUUCCCUUCAAAUUCUUGAAUUAGAGCCGAACCGAAGACCAUCCCAUCGGCAGACAAAUACAAUUUGAAAGGCUUUCCUUGCUGAGGUGGAAUUAGAACUGGAGGAUUUGUUAAAUAAUUCUUGAUUUCAUCCAAUGCUGACUGUUGCACUCUUCCCCAUAUAAACUCUUGAUCGGUUUUCAACUUAAGUAAAGGACUAAAAGCACGAAUCUUACCAGACAAGUUAGAUAUGAAUCACCUGAUAAAAUUUAUCUUGCCGAUCAGAGAUUGGAGUUCAGUUUUGUUGGGGAGCAACUAUUUUGUUGAUAGCAUCAAUAGAUCUCCUACUAAUUUCAAUUCCUUUCUGAUGCACCAUGAAACCAAGAAACUGCCCUGCCGAUACACCAAAUGCACAUUUAUUAGGAUUCAUCUUUAAACCAUGUUUCCUUGUGCACUCCAACACCUUUCGCAGAUUGGCAAGAUGCUUUGUGAAAUCCCUAGACUUAAACACCACAUCAUCAAUGUAGAUUUCCACCAGCUUGCCGAUGAACUCAUGAAAGAUAAAAUUCAUAGCCCUCUGAUAAGUAGCACCAGCAUUUUUCAAGCCAAAGGUCAUGACUAUCCAUUCAAACAACCCAACAUGACCAGGACAUCUGAAUGCGGUUUUUGGAAUAUCUUCUUCGGCCAUGAAUAUUUGAUUAUACCCUGCAUUGCCAUCCAUAAAGCUAAUAAUCCGAUGUCCAGCCGCAACAUCAACUAGUAAAUCGGCAACUGGCAUUGGAUAGCCAUCCAUCGGUGUAGCCAUGUUAAGAUUCCUGAAAUCAAUGCAGACACGAAGUUUUCCAUUCUUCUUGUAUAAUGGAAAAAAAUUAGAAAUCCACUCGGCAUACCGACAUUGCGGAAUAAAUUUAGCUUCGAUAAGUUUAGUUAUUUCGGCCUUAAUAUCAGGAAGAAUAUUAGGAUUACAUCGGCGAGCUGGCUGCUGAUGCGGCUGAAAUCCAGAUUUGAUAGGCAACCGAUGUUCAACAAUAGAUCGGUCCAAACCAGGCAUCUCGGUAUAAUACCAAGCAAAGCAAUCUUUAUAUUCCCUUAACAAAUCAGUCAACUGCUGCUUACACUCAGAAUCUAACUUAGCACUAAUAAAAGUAGGACUUGGCCUAUCACCAUUACCUAUAUCUACUUCUACUAAAUCAUCGGCCGAUGUAAACCCCUGGCCUAAUUUUCCAUCAUGAGCAAACCUAUCCAUUAAAAUUCCUCAUCAGAACCGACUGCUUGGAUCAGUGGAAUUUCAUAAUUGGCAACCUUGAGAAAAUCCUUAACCCAAAUCUCCCGUGAAAUGCAUCUGGUCCUUUCAUACUUAUCUGCCUCUGUCGAUGCGAUGACAUAUGAAGAAUCUCCUGGGACAAUCUCAACCUUGUCACCUACCCACUGGACCAAGCACUGGUGCAUUGUAGAUGGGAUGCAACAAUUGGCAUGAAUCCAAUCUCUCCCUAACAGCAAAUUAUAAGCACCCUUUCCACUGAUGACAAAGAAAGUCGUCGGCAAGGUUUUGCUGCCGAUGGUCAACUCAAUGCAUAUGGCUCCCUUGACUGGAGAUACAUUCCCUUCAAAGUCUUUCAGCAUCAAAUCGGUCUUGGUCAAAUCUUGAUCUUCCUUUCCCAAGCUUCCAAUAGACUGCGUAUGGCAUAAUAUUGAUGGCAGCUCCACCAUCAACAAGUAUUUUGGUCAUCGGUUGUCCAUCAACCCUGCCUUUGACAAACAAAGCUUUAAGAUGUUGUCUUUCAUCAUCAGCGGGCUUUUCAAAGAUAGCCGUCAUCGGAUCUAGGGCUAAUUGAGCUAUCUAGUCGGGAAAAUCCACCUCUUCAUCAUCACUGAAAGGCGCAAGGAAUUACAUCGGCAACAUAAACACCAUAUUAAUAUCUGCCGAUGGACUUUUUCCUUUAGGAUCUGACUGUUGCUGAUCUCCAGACUUAGCAGAAUUUUCUCCCCUGCUCAGUUCUUCUUGUCGCUCCCGCUGCAGCCUUCUCUUCUAUGUUCUUGUCAGCCCUUUUGGACACCAUGGAGGAAGUUGUGGCUGCCUCACCGAUUGAUGACGAUUUUCUCUUAAUUCCACCCGAUAAGUAUUAGCAUCCCUACAGAAUAUGAAUUCAUCGGGAACUCGUGCAUCUGCCAUUUCCUCAAGCUCUUCUUGGUUCUUGGGAAAAUAACCGACAUGCUCACCAAGCCUGUCAUGCACACUGAGCCUGCCCCCCAGUCAAUCAUGAACUAACGUCCUUCCCCUAAUCGGCCCACCGAAACGCCGAUCACUGUCUUGAUAUUGCCGAUUUGGUCUAUCAUACCGAUCGUAGCCAUUUGUAACACCCUGAAAAUUUAUCUUCAGAUUAGUAUUUAAUUUGGCAUAAUUAUAAGAAUUAUUUGAGAAAUGUUUAGGCAAAAUAACAAUUUUUGGGAUUAUUUAAAAUAAACUAUAAGGUCUAGAAACAUAAAAUGCUGCAUUCAUGCUGGUGCAUAAUAUUUUGUUUGAUGGUAAGACUAGAUUGUUUGAUUUAAAAAAUCAAUUUGAAAGGAAUUUAUAUAAAUUUAUAGCUCUAAAAAAUAUAAAAGAGUUUUUCUUUUAUCUUUAUCCCCUUCACCGAUUUUGGCCCAGCCCCAAACCCUAGCCCAACACACCCCGCGCUUAUCCCUGGCCUUGGGCCAUUGGCGGCCCAGCUUCCCGCCCCCGUCCACGACGCGCACGCGGCCCAGUGGCGCGGCCCGCUCCGCGCGGACAGCCCGCGCGCCCUCCCCCUUCCCCCUCUCACUGCGCAGUAGGGCCCGCCUGUCGGCGCUCUUUUCCCCCUCUCUCUCUCGCUGCACUGUGGGGCCCGCUCGUCAGCGUCACCACCUUUCUUCUCCACCGAGCCAGGAGCGCUGCAAUGGGCAAUCAUCCCCUCCUUCAAACGCCGAUUGAUGGAGGCCAUCAAUCGGGGCUCCAUCAAGUCUCUUGACGUCGGGAGUAAUCGCCCGCAUGCGCGCCCCCUUGACGCCCCUGCUCGCCCUAUAAAACCCCUAGAACGAGCCCCCUUGCUGCCCCUAGCCACCACCGGAGCACGGUUUCUCUCCCCCACCUCGGUUUCCCCUUGCUCGAGCGACCCAGAGCCCGAAGAGCGCCCCGGAAGCUUGGUUGGGACACGCCGCAACCGUAGGCACCUAUCUUACCUUCGUUUUGAUCUUGUAUGCCAUGAAUUCGAGCUCACCGACGUUUUCUUCUCUCCAGUCCGCCCCGACCGUGGUCAAGCCGCUCGGAGCUUUCCCGGACGCCGCGAACGCCUCCAACGGAACCGCGGUAUCCCCUCAAUGCUCCCCGCACCUUUAAUCAUGAGUUUAGGGCACUCUAACACCGACUCCGAGGCUCUCCGAGAGCGCGGCAAUGGCGCCACCACGGGGCCAUCGUCCCGACGUGCUCCCCGCCCUUUAUUUUGUGCCCUAUCGUGUUCACCUCGCCGCGCUGGUCACCGUGGUAGUUUUAUUUUUGCUCGGCGUGGCCGGGAACGAGAUUCCGGCGAGCUCCGAGGAGUUCACCUCGUCGGCGGCAAUGGCGCCGCCAUGGUCGGCCUCGGCUCAGGCGAGCGCCCCCGCCUCCUUUCUUCCAGAGCCGUCCGAUCGGAUUCCAACGGCCCAGAUCGCAUACCCCUUCGGGGUUAUGUAACCGGUCCACCGUGGACCAUGGGCGCGGUCCACGGGCGCUCGGUCGGCCGGUCCACGCGCACAGUGGUGGACCGAGCCAACUCCCCGCACGCCACGUGGCCCCCUGUCGGCCAGCGACGGGGUCAGCCGCGGACCGCUGGAGAUUUUGCACUUUAACCCCCCCGUUUCAAGCAAAUCAACCCGCAGUCCAACUUAGUUCAAAAGUAUUUCUUUUUAAUCCUGUUUUCUUCUGUUUUAAACCCUGAGCUUUUAUAUAAUAGUGCGUGCGGUCCAGAACCGUUAGAAAUUCAGUUUUAAUUCUUUUAAAUUCGUUUUUGAUUCAGUUUAUUCACAGAAAUGCCAUUCAUUUUGUUUUAUGCAUAACUUCCACGUUUUAAGUCCGAUUAGAGUGGUUCUUUCGCUCAUGUGUUCGUAGAAAUGCGUAGAGUAGAUUUAUAUCCUUUUCAUUCACUGUUUUUACUGUUUGGGUUACUGUUCUAAUAGAACUCUUUUUGUAUGCAUGUGAUGAUUGGAUUGGAUGCUUGAUUGGUGUUUGGAUCACGAAUAAAAGGAGAUCAGGUUGGGGUGGUUGAGGAGCAGUUUGUGGAGCUCUACCACGAGGAAACUUUUGAGGAAGGCAAGUGUAAUAUAGGCUUCCUUGUACCUAUGAACAUUAUUUAAUUCAUACAUAUGCAUGUGUCUAAAUUGAAAUACCAAUAAGGACUUUACCUAGAUAAUUUUUGUACCACAAAUCCUUGAUACCCAGGGGAAGGUGUGCAUAUAUUUAGGUAGUUGCUGCUAUGCUUAAAACCCAAGUUAAUAAAUUAACCUGAUUAAUUGGUAUAUGCAAUGUGAUAAAAUAUGUUCUAGUAACUUGGCUCAGGGGGCUAGAGCUUGGGUUUGAAAGCUCUAAUCUCCUCUCCAUAAGGACUUAAUCUUGAAGCGGCCACCCAGGAGGUCACGUACAAUCCCGAGAGUCAAAUGGCUCUGACCUUAAUCAUAUAACUAGUAUGUCUCUAGCAAAUUAGUAGUUACCGAAAGGCGCUAGAGGGGGGUGCCUUGUGGUGUAUAGAUGUCACUCCUACCUUGGUGUGUACAGUGCCGCGACCACGUGUGCCUCUUGAAGGAGGUCGUCUAUGCACACUUGCCACUGAAACCUCGCAGCUACUAUUUUGUUAGGGUGACUGGUGAAAGGUUAAGUAGUGGAACCCGGUCACACUUCCUCGGUAGAAGUGGUGUGGGCCUUGCAAACCCCGACACUAGGGAACCAUGGCUCGGGGGUAAAGUUGUACAAUUUCUGCAAAAAUCUAAAACCUGUUAUAACAGCCGAGCUCUCGGUCAUGAGCGACCGGGAUCCUUCUUGGUUAGCGGUUACUUGGCUUUACUUGGGAAAGGUAUUAAUUUUGAUUAAACACUUAUGUAACCAUGGUUGGUUCAUCAUUAAAGUAGUAAGUCUUGGUUAAUAAAAUAUGACCAACUAAAAUGCUAACCGCUGUUAAACCGAGUCAAGCCUUCGAGCCUUCAUAUACCCCUAUGUUAUACUUGCUAAGCAUGGUGCGCUUACACUUGUUUAUAUUUCAAUGAAAAUCCCAGAUGGGUAACAGAUGUGUGUAUUGAGGAGUUCCCUGAAGAUGUCCAGGACUUCUAGAGUGCUGGUGUUCACCAGUUGGUGUCCAUGUGGCAGCAAGGGCUUAGCUUUCCGCUUUAUGUAAUAAUGUUGCCAAUGAGCAAGACUAUGUGAGAUGUUUAUGAUGAAUAUGCGAUGUAAUAAAGUACUUUACUUUGAUAUAAUUGCAAUUUGUGAUAAUAUGUGUGUUU